ensembl:lncRNA uncharacterized LOC114457947
CCGGGGAGGCGGGCUGAGGGCGGGUCGUUGAGACAGAGAGAAAAAAAACAAGCCCAAUGAGUGUGUAAUGCAAAGAGGGAUACUACAUUACUCUCAUCACCACAGUCAGCAGGCAGCGAGGGAACAGAGAGUUGUCAACAUACCACCGACCACAACAGAAAACGCAUCAACUGGCGGGAGUUUACCGCUGAGGCGUCGGAUGGAUGAUGAGGAGGAAGACAUGUCACGGCCUAUUUCGCAGCUUUGGGGAGCGCCCUUUAGAGACGUCAAAUUGGAAGGCCGAGCCACACAGAUCACUACCGGACAGGCGCUCGCCGCCGUGGUCACAGCCGCCGUGUCCACAUCGCAAAGCAACAACAACAACAGCAUCAACGCGCUGCCCUGCAGCUCCAACCGGCGGUCACGGAUACCUUUUCACGGCAAUGCUGGAUUGCGAUCUCACUUUCCUGCUCAAUUCGAGCCCAUGGAAGACAGAGGGCAGAGCCAAAUUGAAGAGGAAGAGGAGGAGGUUGCCAGAAGAGAGGAAAACAACAGGAUGGCAGAAAGGCCCGGAGAGCAGGCAGAGCUGAGUGUCGAGGUGCAAAUUGGUCGCAAACUCCGGGAGAUAGGAGACAAGUUCCACCUGGAUCAUGUCGAACCGUUGAUGAGGCACCAGAGACCAAACCUGCCUGUCUGGAUGCGCCUUACUAUGGCCCUGUUUGGCUUCUGGUUUCCACGAGAAGCUUUUCUUCCACGCCUGCAAGGACAGCAAAGAUGAAGGGACUUCCUGUUGGCCUUCGCCUCGACUCUUGUUUUCUAAACUGAAACAACAGAUCAGACUUAAAGAGAUGGCACUGUAAGAUGGAACACGGGUCUGGAUUUUUGUUUUUUCUAAUUCAAUAUGAAGACUAGAUGAAGACGACACUGGUCAUCCGCUGGACGGAGACUUUUUCUUCUUCUUUCGUUUUUCUUUUUUUUGUUAUCGUUUCAUUUCCCCGCCUCUCCAAGAAGAAGCCAUUGAGUUUAAAGAGAUAUUUUCGAAAUAUUUGUAAGAUUACCUACUUUUGUACACUAAACUGCUGUUUUUAUUUGGUAUCAGAAGUCUUGAAGGACCUCCAUCAGUCCAGGGAAUGCCUUAUUCUCUCCUUCCACAGUACGCACUCUUUUUUGCAUUCAGAAAUUAACAAGAGAUUAAUGAUUAAAGAUGGGACCCUUUUUUGCUGAUGAACUGUGGACACGAUCAUUUCUGUGCUGAAGUUACUGAUUCUAAAACCUUCUAAGGACCUGAGGCACAUUUUUAACCGAUGUUCGAAAUAACGACAAGUUGUGUACUCGCCCUUUACUGUUCCACACUGGCUGAUUCAUAAAGGACUUUUCUUUCUUUUUUUUGGUGACAUAGUGGCACAAUAGUGUUCCGCUCUAGGUCUUGGUUUAGAUACAGUACGCCUGGCUUCCAAUGUAGACACUUGGAUGUUAUAUCAGCCUGUGUCCUUUACUGGUGUCAUCCAUCAACAUUUCCAUUUCCAGAAUCUCUCGCGUUUCUGAGAGUAACAACCCACCGUGUAGAUUUUACACUCUGUUAAUGUGAAGCCUGUAAUCUAGCUUUGAAGAAUUGGACGAAGACAUCAAUCAAAUCGUCGAAAUCACAGUUUCAGUUUGUCUUUGUCGGAACGCGCGCACGCUUGCCGUUUGCAAAGGUUGCAGUAAUUUCAAAACCAAAUGAGCACAAACAAAGUCGAGCGAAUCUCACGUGUGGGAUGACGAUCAGGAAACUGGGAAUAAUCAGACUGCUGGGAAACUUCAGAGGAAUACCGUUAUUUUCCAAAGGAUUUCACGCAGUGGCCGAGGGUUGACAAUCGCAGUUUUGGUUCUUGGCUAAUGGAGAUGAGCAAUAGUCUUUGAAAUCAAACCGACGUCCUCAAAAAGUCAAUAUUUCCAGAAAGACUAUGAAAUGCAUUUUUAUUUCAUUUCGGUGUAAAUGUCGCAAUCUCCGUUGUGAUCAAAUGAGAUUUCGUCAACGGCCAUGAUGCAUUCAGCUUCACUUGGAACUUGGACAGUUUUUGUACAGUAGACUUUUAUUAACACACAGACUGGAACGGAGAACGUUUCUUCUUCGUUCGCGCUCGACUUCCGUUAACGAAACGUUCGAAAACAUCAGCAAAAGGCUUUGAAUACGAUGUUUUCUCCUUUGACGAAUUCUUUCGGAUUGUUGUAGAUUCAUGAUCUUUUGAAGACACUGAUAGGGUUUUUUUUUUUUUUUUGUUGCUAUGUUUACCUAUGUUUUUUUCUUCUUCAGGGAGUAGUUAACAAACAACAGUACCGUAGUUAUUCCAAAUUUACUUAUCGGAUGUGUUAAUUGACAAUGCAAAAUAGUUGAAGUUUUUGUUUUCACUUUCAAAGAAUCGUCAUUCAUUCACGAACUUUGCGUUACAAGUUCACUUUUUAAAAGUUAUUACUCCAGGAGUAGCACCAACCAAAUGUUUGUUUCCUGCAAACACUGAACGCUGAGCCAGUUCUCGUUGUAGUGACACACACGCCCAAUGCUUCACUGGGUCAUUAGGUGAAGGUUCCAUGUUUAACUACUCUCUGCUCUUAAAUGAGAACAACUUUCAUUUGGUUUUGUUUUUUCUCUGAGGUAAUUUAUUCUAAUUUAUUUUUUGUGUAUAUUUGCUCAGUGCUACUGUAUAGAUGCUACUAUCUCUCAGUGUGUAAAAGUUAUUUUCUCUGCUUUCAAUGUUGAGGUGCAUUCAGUUGCCUGCGUGUAAAGGGAGGUUGGAUUAAAGCCAUGUGCCUCGUGCAUUCUCACACCAAGCGUGUGAGUCCUUACAAAACACACACACACACAUAUAUACUGUAUACACACAACAACAACAAAACAAGACAAUCAUAAUGUACAAAAUGUGCCUUGUGAGUAACAGACCUGCCACUUGGCAUUACUCUCCCAAAGUCAGAGUUCUCAGCUCUGCUUUCACUUGGGCUCAGUGAGAUUAACCAAACAGACUAUUUAAAAAAAAAAAAAAAAAAAAAGGGAUAUUCAAUUUUCACAUCAGCUUGCGAGGCACAGGCUCAACCUUAGAUUCAGCACGAAUGGCAAGUUUCACCAAUGCAAAACCUUCUCAAUAUCAGAAACGACUGUUUGCAAUCAACGUGCACUGUAAAAACCAAGGGUUCAUUUUUGGGUUUUUUUUCUAUACUGUAUCUCGCGCCUCUCUUUCUACUCCCGUGCUGAUCCUCUCCCCCUCUAGAUUCUUGAAACUUUCUAAGAUCUGUAAUAUGCUGGAUCGGGCCCAGUUCCUCUGGGUUUUUUGUGCUUUAUUAUCUACAAUCUAGUAGGGCUGUGGGUUUACAUUAGAAAGAGGAAUGAGCCACCAUGGUGCCCAGUAUUAUCUGUCUGUGGAAGGGGGUUUGAACCGCCACUCAGUCGGGUUGUGUUGACGUGAACCCGAUGUUACCAACCACUGUUUCAACCUCAAGUGAAAUGUUUGCUAUAUGUUUGACCUUCAGUGUCUUUAAUAUCAAAAAUGUUUCAAUUUUUUUUUUUUUUUUAUAUAUAUAUUCAAGGAAGAUUGCAUCUUUACUGUCCAGUGCUGUGAUUUGGUGGGUUUUUUAUACAUUAGACAUGAAUUUGACACAGCAACUGUUGCUCUUUUAUCAAACUUUUCAAACAUAAUUCUUUUUUGGUAAAAAAAAUAGACAAAAUAACUAAAUCUGCAACUUUUGCUUUUUUUAAAAAAAAUUUUUAAACGAUUGCUUUUUCAAUUUUGUGGCAUUAUAUAAACUUUUGAAUAUUGACAAGUUCUGCUGUGUCACUCUCAGUUCAAGGGCUUUUUUCGAUACAUGUAAAUGGAGUAAAAAUGCAUGUGCAACAUUCCUGAAGAUCUGUAUCCUAAAGGGUUUGAAUGUAAUUUAUUGGAGUGAGAAAAAAAAAACCCACAUUAUCUCUUGUUAUCACGUGAAAUGAACAUUGGAACUAAUUUCAGGCUUCUGUGCUCCAGGCACGCCGUUUCUGUUGUCUUCUCUUUUGCUUUCUUUUACGUUCAGAGUGGUCUCAAGGAUUUCACAAUCAUGUGUCCUAUGAAGUGAGACCCAGUCCAGAUGUAGCAGUUUUUUGGUAAAACAUUGGCUGUGUUGUCUUUGGGGCUGCUCUGUUUCUCCUGCACAGCUGUGCAGGACUACUGGAGGGAUGGAGGGAUUGAAGGAGGACAGGCGACGUUUGUUCUUUUUCUAGUGCAAUAUGCUGUACAUAAGAGCUUGGCUCAUAAAUCUUACAAUUUCUCCUGUUUUCUUUUGUCAUUAAAUGGGUACAUUGCUGUCAUUUUUUUCAAUAAAACUUUAUGGAC